rnacentral:snRNA from 1 species
UUCUUUACCUGGCAAGGGGGAGACCAUGAUCACGAAGGUGGUUUUCCCAGAGUGAGGCUCAUCCAUUGCACUGUGGGUGUGCUGACCCCUGCGAUUUCCCCAAAUGUGGGAAACUUGACUGCAUAAUUUGCAGUAGUGGGGGACUGCGUUUGCGCUUUCCCCAA